AUUGAACGCUGGCGGCAGGCUUAGCACAUGCAAGUCGAGCGGGGGGAGGUAGCUUGCUACCGGACCUAGCGGCGGACGGGUGAGUAAUGCUUAGGAAUCUGCCUAUUAGUGGGGGACAACAUCUCGAAAGGGAUGCUAAUACCGCAUACGUCCUACGGGAGAAAGCAGGGGAUCUUCGGACCUUGCGCUAAUAGAUGAGCCUAAGUCGGAUUAGCUAGUUGGUGGGGUAAAGGCCUACCAAGGCGACGACCUGUAGCGGGUCUGAGAGGAUGAUCCGCCACACUGGGACUGAGACACGGCCCAGACUCCUACGGGAGGCAGCAGUGGGGAAUAUUGGACAAUGGGGGGAACCCUGAUCCAGCCAUGCCGCGUGUGUGAAGAAGGCCUUAUGGUUGUAAAGCACUUUAAGCGAGGAGGAGGCUCUUUUGGUUAAUACCCAAGAUGAGUGGACGUUACUCGCAGAAUAAGCACCGGCUAACUCUGUGGCAGCAGCCGCCGUAA
rnacentral:rRNA from 1 species